rnacentral:rRNA from 1 species
AGCAGCCGCGGUAAUUCCAGCUCCAAUAGCGUAUAUUAAAGUUGUUGCAGUUAAAAAGCUCGUAGUUGAAUUUCGGGGUCAGCAAGUUGGUCGUGCCAAUGGUAUGUACUGGCUUUGCUGAUUCCUCCUUCUUGUAGAGCCGUAAUGCCAUUUAGUUGGUGUUGCGGGGAAACAGGACUGUUACUUUAGAAAAAUUGAGUGUUUAAAGCAGGCUAACGCUUGAAUAUAUUAGCAUGGAAUAAUGAAAUAGGACGAGCGAUCCUAUUUUGUUGGUUUCUAGGAUUGACGUAAUGAUUAAUAGGGAUAGUU